rnacentral:lncRNA from 1 species
GGCGCGCGCGGCAGCAGGAGCGACCGGUGAGGAGUGGAGCCCUGACGUAGCCUCUCGCACGUGCCCGCCAGGCCAUCAUCAUGAAGACCGGUGUCGCACUGAUCUUCCUGGCCGCUCUGAUGACCGUGCGUGCCGACGGACCUGAGAUCGGAGGAACUGCUGGCGGAACUGUCGGAUCUUUCCAAAACCCUUUUACGAACAUUUUGAACACUGAAUGCCAAUGCUGUAACCUUCCACA